CAUGUAGUUAUUAGCACAAUCACAAAAGAGGUCACUGGUCUUUCCUUUAAUUUCUGUCACAGGCUGCAGGCCGUAUUAUGCUAAAUCAAGGAUACGGGGAGAUAAUUAACAUAGCAACUCUGGCAAGUUUAAUAGGUUCUUAUACACAGUGACAGCUAGCAGAAUCUGAAGUGCUGACAUUAUGACUUAGAGAUGUGAUAAAGAGAAACAUCUAUUGCAUUUUCUACAACAGCAGCAACUACAAAACGAGACAAUAUCUAUUCAGCACCUACUGUGUUCCAGGCACACUAUAUGAAUUAUUUUGUUUAAUUUCCAAGCAAUUUUGUGAGGUAAGUACCACUAGUAUCCACAAUUUACAGAUGGAAAUGGGACUAUAGUAGGGUAAAACAACUAAUUACAUUGACAAAAUAAUGAAUCCUUAGCAAAGGACUACAGGCUUAUCCCUCCCGGACACAAUGUAUACAUUAGAAUAGCAUGUGCUUGGAAACAAGAUGUCUUAUCUCAAGACUAGGUGGGUGUGGGUGAGUUCUGGGGAGGAAUCAGUGAGGGUAGAGGGGAGAGGGUUAGUUACUGUUUCUGGAUAAAGAGGUCAAGAGGUCAUAUUUGGAAGCGGCAUGGCUUCAGAUGCCUCUCACAUCAAGCCGUAGAGUGGGCACCUUUUCC
rnacentral:lncRNA from 1 species